AUACGUAGGGGGCGAGCGUUGUCCGGAAUGACUGGGCGUAAAGGGCGCGUAGGCGGCCCGGUAAGUCUGGAGUGAAAGUCCUGUUUUUAAGAUGGGAAUUGCUUUGGAUACUGUCGGGCUUGAGUGCAGGAGAGGUAAGUGGAAUUCCCAGUGUAGCGGUGAAAUGCGUAGAGAUUGGGAGGAACACCAGUGGCGAAGGCGACUUACUGGACUGUAACUGACGCUGAGGCGCGAAAGUGUGGGGAGCAAACAGGAUUAGAUACCCUGGUAGUCCACACUGUAAACGAUGAAUGCUAGGUGUAGGGGGUAUCGACCCCUUCUGUGCCGCAGUCAAGACAAUAAGCAUUCCGCCUGGGGAGUACGGCCGCAAGGUUGAAACUCAAAGGAAUUGACGGGG
rnacentral:rRNA from 1 species